CGAUGGAUGGUUGGCCUGAUAUUGCUAAAUCUGUGUACCGGGAAAGUGAUGCGGGUGAAAGGACAGUGAUCCUUGUGAUAAAGCAGAGAAACUUGCUGGCAACCGCCUGUCAUCUAGAGCUAACUACAGACACCCGACGGUCUGUCUGUUUCUCUGUUUUUAUCUAGGCAUAGUUAUUUCAUGAAGACUGUGGACGAGAGCAGCCAAGACAACACCCAGUCCUGUCUUGUUUGUACGCACAAAGGCUAAGUAUAUUAACAAAACAAGGACUCGUCUCCACAAUACUUAGAAAGUGCUGCGGCUGAAAAGACAGUGAUCAUUGGGAUAAAGCAGGGAAAGUUGCUGGCAACUGAAGGCAUGGUUAUUUCAUUAAGACGGUGGACGAGAGCAGCCAAGAAAGC